rnacentral:rRNA from 1 species
GUCUUGUAAUUGGAAUGAUGGCGACUUAAACCCUCGCCAGAGUAACAAUUGGAGGGCAAGUCUGGUGCCAGCAGCCGCGGUAAUUCCAGCUCCAAUAGCGUAUAUUAAACUUGUUGCAGUUAAAAAGCUCGUAGUUGAACUUUUGCGUUGUCCUUUUCCUGCUUUGUGCGGGUUAUUGACUUCGCUUUUUCUUUUUACUUUGAGAAAAUUAGAGUGUUUAUCGCAGACUUUUGUCUUGAAUACUUCAGCAUGGAAUAAUAGAGUAGGACUUUGGUUCUAUUUUGUUGGUUUUGGAACCUUGGUAAUGGUUAAUAGGAACGGUUGGGGGCAUUCGUAUUUAACUGUCAGAGGUGAAAUUCUUAGAUUUGUUAAAGACGAACUACUGCGAAAGCAUUUGCCAAGGACGUUUCCAUUAAUCAAGAACGAAAGUUAGGGGAUCGAAGACGAUCAGAUACCGUCGUAGUCCUAACCAUAAACU